rfam:Ciona savignyi cont_20516, whole genome shotgun sequence.
GGCGCGUUGAUCUAGGGUUAUGAUUCUCGCUUCGGGUGCGAGAGGUCCCGGGUUCAAUUCCCGGACGAGCCC